rnacentral:rRNA from 1 species
UACGAAGGGGGGCUAGCGUUGCUCGGAAUCACUGGGCGUAAAGCGCACGUAGGCGGAUCUUUAAGUCAGGGGUGAAAUCCCAAGGCUCAACCUUGGAACUGCCUUUGAUACUGGGGAUCUCGAGUCCGGAAGAGGUUGGUGGAACUGCGAGUGUAGAGGUGAAAUUCGUAGAUAUUCGCAAGAACACCAGUGGCGAAGGCGGCCAACUGGUCCGGUACUGACGCUGAGGUGCGAAAGCGUGGGGGAGCAAACAGG